rnacentral:rRNA from 1 species
UGAGCAAUCUACCCUUCUCAUCGGAAUAAGCGUUGGAAACGACGUCUAAUGCCGAAUACGACCUCCUUUCGCAUGAUCGGAGGUGGAAAGCUCCGGCGGAGAAGGAUGAGCUCGCGGCCUAUCAGCUAGUUGGUGUGGGUAAUGGCCCACCAAGGCGACGACGGGUAGCCGGCCUGAGAGGGUGACCGGCCACACUGGGACUGAGACACGGCCCCAGACCUCCUACGGGAGGNAG